GACGAACGCUGGCGGCGUGCUUAACACAUGCAAGUCGAACGGAAAGGCCCUGCUUUUGUGGGGUGCUCGAGUGGCGAACGGGUGAGUAACACGUGAGUAACCUGCCCUUGACUUUGGGAUAACUUCAGGAAGCUGGGGCUAAUACCGGAUAGGAGCUCCUGCUGCAUGGUGGGGGUUGGAAAGUUUCGGCGGUUGGGGAUGGACUCGCGGCUUAUCAGCUUGUUGGUGGGGUAGUGGCUUACCAAGGCGUUGACGGGUAGCCGGCCUGAGAGGGUGACCGGCCACAUUGGGACUGAGAUACGGCCCAGACUCCUACGGGAGGCAGCAGUGGGGAAUAUUGCACAAUGGGCGGAAGCCUGAUGCAGCAACGCCGCGUGCGGGAUGACGGCCUUCGGGUUGUAAACCGCUUUCGCCUGUGACGAAGCGUGAGUGACGGUAAUGGGUAAAGAAGCACCGGCUAACUACGUG
rnacentral:rRNA from 1 species